rnacentral:rRNA from 1 species
UACGUAGGGUGCAAGCGUUGUCCGGAAUUAUUGGGCGUAAAGAGCUCGUAGGCGGUUUGUCGCGUCGGCUGUGAAAACCUGAGGCUCAACCUCGGGCCUGCAGUCGAUACGGGCAGACUAGAGUUCGGUAGGGGAGACUGGAAUUCCUGGUGUAGCGGUGGAAUGCGCAGAUAUCAGGAGGAACACCGGUGGCGAAGGCGGGUCUCUGGGCAGAAACUGACGCUGAGGAGCGAAAGCGUGGGGAGCAAACAGG